CACAAUUCAUUUAGGAAAAUUUUCUCUUUAGUGCACGAUAAGAAGAAAUAUAGCAAUGAUACCAAUCAUAAUUCAUUUGGAUAAUAGAUGCUAAAAAGGAACAUUGAGGAUACAAGAUCUUGAUUUUUAUAGAGUAAAUCUCAAGUUAUAAAUCUCAAAAAAUCAAGAUAAAGCUCAUUCAAAUUAAAAUCAUCAAAUCAAAAUCAUUUUCAAGAUAUUCAUAAAAAGAUGAUAAAAUAGAUUCAUCAAACCAAGAAUUUUCAAGAAAAAUACUUUUAUCUAUUUAGUUGUUUCAUAUAAGUAUGCCUUUGUCCUUUUUGUGCCAAAAAAUAUAUAUAUAUCAUCAAUCAUUUAGGAUCGAAAAAUAAAUUUCUUCAUAACAACCAUCAAGAUCAUUAUGUAUAACUUUUAAAAUCUCA
rnacentral:lncRNA from 1 species